GUCUCACCUCUGGCUAGGAAACACGACUGUUUGCAUGGAAGCUUUGGCAACUGAGGCCUGGAAGUAGCAUUCUUCGAAGAAAAAUCAACACAGAAGGUAAAGAGCUGAAGAGGUCCCCUCCAGAAGAUGGCACCUAUGUACCUCAUAUGAACCUGCUAGACCACAUAGAUCUGGGAACUGGGAACAGUUUGUUCCACACUUGCAAGGAAUCAAUUCUUCAGUGUGGCAGCCCCUACUCUUUGGAACACUCUGCCCCACUGAAACUACCUUUGCUGCAUUGUUAUCAGUGCCUACUAAAAAUGUUUAUCUUCCAGCACACCUAACGAGACAUGUAAUUUUAGCAUACAAUUGUGAUAUGAUUUUCUGUGUAAUGUGAUUUUAGUAAGCAUAAUUGCUUUUAAAUUACUGGUUUUAUCGCACACAGAGAGACACGCAUAUAUAUGUAAACACUUUUAAAAUGUUUUUAUUGGUAUUUUUCAUUAAUAUUUCAGAUUGUCUUUUGCAAAUCGCUUAGAGGUCUUUUGAAUCUGUGUUGCAUACAUUUUGUUAAAUAAAAAGUUAAACCUGCCUGCCAUUCUGAUAAACUAUCAAGAUGGUUAUUCUGACUCUCCAUUAUUAUUGAUUAGCUUAUUGUUAAUUUACAGGGCCCCAUGUAUGUGUUGCCCAGCCUAUACUCAUAUUAUGCGUGGGCCAGAGAUACACCGCCCCUAUCCCUGUAGAACGGCUACUGUAUCCAAUGCACACUCAGUUCACAUGGGAGGAAAUACACUACACCAGAAAACAGCAGGAAAAUGACAGACACCUCCACCCACAUCCCAAAGCAUUCCUGAAAACUCUGCAAAUACCCACCAAUUGGGCAUCCUGUUAACAGUGGCGCUCACGAGGUGCCCAACUACAAAUGCAGGAAAUGAGUUCAGUGAUGGUGAUACAGCCUCAUUGAAUCAGUGAGCCCUAGCUCAGUGGUAGAUCAUCUGCUCUGAAUGCAAAUACUCUGAAUACUCUCUAGGUAGGGCUGGGUGAGAACUCUGCUUGAAACCCUGCAGCUGCCACCAGGUUAGUGUCAACAACACUGUGAUUGACAGACGAAGACAGCCAAUUCGAUACAAAGCAGUCAGCAUCCUAUGUUCCCCUGAACACAGACAAGAUGAUGCCACAUUGUGGACUACAAUUCCCACCAACCCCUGCCAGUAUGGUCAAUGGUGAGGGAUUAUGGCACUUGCAAUCCAACGUUUGGAGAGCAUCAUGUUGGUUACACUUUCUUCUGGAGCAACCUUUGCCAACCUGGUGCCCUCGAGAUGUUGUUGGACUACAGCUCCCAUCAGUCCCAGGUAGCAUAUUGUGCUGGCUGGGACUGAUGGGAGUUGUUUUCCUACAACAUCUCGAUGAUGGCUAGUGCUAUUCUGCUACGAAAAAAAGGUGCCAAUACUCACCAGUUGUUACAGUAAGUGCCACAUUUUAAACCAGUACUUUUCUUCCAGAAAAAGGUGCCCUGUGUACCUGAUGAUGCCCAUUAAAAGUGGGCUCUUUUUGGGGGGGAGGUUGCAAUCUUUUUGUUGUGAACCACCCUGAGAUCUGCGGGUAAAGGGCAGACCCUCCAAGUGUCCCUAUUUUCCAGGGACAGCCCUGAUUUUACAAUAAGCCAUCCCAGUUUCUGAUUUGAUCCCAGAAUGUCCCCUUUUCCUUAGGAUGCCCCUAUUUUCAUCAGAGAAGUGUUGGGAGGGUGUGGAGUUAUCCAACCCCCGAGCCAACUGAAAGGCAGCCCUGUAUAGGAAACAUUUUAAAUCAUGUUUUUAUAUGUGUUGGAAGCCGCCCAGAGUGGCUGGGGCAACGUGGUCCGAUGAGAGGAGUACAAAUGGUAAAGUUAUUAUUAUGGAAUGGGACAUCCCUAUUUUCAUCAGAGAAACAUUGGAGGGUAUGGAAUUUAAUAAAUAGGAAACAAUGAAAUAAUUACAGACCCUGAGGGUUUUUCUUUACAAUGGAGGCGGUACAGAAAUGAAUGUUAUGAAAUAUUAUGUCUCUCUUUUCCCGGUUGUUGCUGUUCUCCAUCAUAAUAUUUUACAAGGACAGGAAGGAACAUCACGGACAGAAUAAUUGCCACACACAGGAAGAACAAGGAUAUAUAGUUUGAGUGCCUCGCCUGUAGUUUUAUCAAUCAUUUAAUGUGUCAAUACGAAUGGAAGUUGUUAAUAUUGCAGUUGUUGUAUAAGGGAUUGUUACUUUGACUGGAGUGUGAUUGAAAUUAGUAAGAUUUUGGAACGCAGAAAUAAAGUAAAUCAUCAAUCCAUCAAUUCUAGCAUGCGGGCGGGGGGGGUACUUAUAUUCAUAGCUGUCAACUUUUCCUUUUUUAAAAGGGAAAUUCCCUUAUUCUGAAUAGGAUUCCUCUCAAG